AUCUAUUCAGUUUUGAAAUCCAAGAAGUGCGUAAGAAAAUUUCAUCACAAGACCAAUUAUAGAAUAUCUAAUUGCAGCACGCUAAGCAUAAUCAAUUUGUGUGCAUCCAAUCAAUUAAUUUCCUUGAAUAGUAGGUGCCAGGUGCCGAUGCUGGCUUACCGUCGCCAUGAGAACUGCCCUCCUGCUCUAUGUUUUGGCCCUCGGGCAAGGGUGGGUCAAAUGCAACCUCUUCUACCCUGAGAACGGCAUGGACAAACACGACAAUGUUGUAAAAAGACACAGCAAAUUAUUAUUUGUCAAAAAUACAAAAAGCAGCCGUAAAAGGGAAUUACAAAAUAAAGAAAAGCAGCUUAUUGGCUUAUUUAAACAUGCCUUUCAUCAAGAACAUAUAAAGUCAGCAUCA